AAACUUUCAACAAAGGAUCUCUUGGUUCCGGCAUCGAUGAAGAACGCAGCGAAAUGCGAUAAUUAAUGUGAAUUGCAGAAUUCAGUGAAUCAUCGAGUCUUUGAACGCACAUUGCACCCCCUGGUAUUCCGGGGGGUAUGCCUGUCCGAGCGUCAUUG
rnacentral:rRNA from 1 species